AAAGAUAGAGGAGCGAAGAUUAUCAGUAACUGUUUUCAUGGAUUAAAGCGUCCACAGUGAAAGGAGUUUUCGCCGAAGCGUAUAAUUAGCUUUAUAAUUAUAUUUGCUGGGGGUGCGUAGAAUAUGCGUAUCACUGUCACAAGCGUAAUCUUGUGUUGGGCUAUCAU
rnacentral:ncRNA from 1 species